rnacentral:rRNA from 1 species
CGCAAUGGGCGAAAGCCUGACGCAGCGACGCCGCGUGGGGGAUGAAGGUCUUCGGAUUGUAAACCCCUUUCGGGAGGGAAGAUGGGAUGGGGUAACCCAUUCGGACGGUACCUCCAGAAGCAGCCACGGCUAACUUCGUGCCAGCAGCCGCGGUAAUACGAAGGUGGCAAGCGUUGUUCGGAUUUACUGGGCGUACAGGGAGCGUAGGCGGUUGGGUAAGCCCUCCGUGAAAUCUCCAGGCUUAACCUGGAAAGUGCAGAGGGGACUGCUCAGCUAGAGGAUGGGAGAGGAGCGCGGAAUUCCCGGUGUAGCGGUGAAAUGCGUAGAGAUCGGGAGGAAGGCCGGUGGCGAAGGCGGCGCUCUGGAACAUUUCUGACGCUGAGGCUCGAAAGCGUGGGGAGCAAACAGGAUUAGAUACCCUGGUAGUCCACGCCUUAAACGAUGGAUACUAAGUGUCGGCGGGUUACCGCCGGUGCCGCAGCUAACGCAGUAAGUAUCCCGCCUGGGAAGUACGGCCGCAAGGUUG